rnacentral:rRNA from 1 species
UUUCCUACGGGGGGCUGCAGUGGGGAAUUUUGGACAAUGGGCGCAAGCCUGAUCCAGCAAUGCCGCGUGCAGGAAGAAGGCCUUCGGGUUGUAAACUGCUUUUGUACGGAACGAAACGGUCUGGGUUAAUACCCUGGGCUAAUGACGGUACCGUAAGAAUAAGCACCGGCUAACUACGUGCCAGCAGCCGCGGUAAUACGUAGGGUGCAAGCGUUAAUCGGAAUUACUGGGCGUAAAGCGUGCGCAGGCGGUUGUGUAAGACAGGCGUGAAAUCCCCGGGCUCAACCUGGGAAUGGCGCUUGUGACUGCACAACUGGAGUGCGGCAGAGGGGGAUGGAAUUCCGCGUGUAGCAGUGAAAUGCGUAGAUAUGCGGAGGAACACCGAUGGCGAAGGCAAUCCCCUGGGCCUGCACUGACGCUCAUGCACGAAAGCGUGGGGAGCAAACAGGAUUAGAUACCCCAGUAGUCC